rnacentral:tmRNA from 1 species
GGGGAUGAUCGGUUUCGACGGUACUUGCCGAAACUGAAUGAAGCGGGUCGAGAACGCAAAGUUAUCUCGUAAACGUUCUUUGCAAACUAUAGGUGCCAAAUCUAAUCGCACCGACUUCGCCCUAGCCGCAUAGGCUAGCCUCGAGGUCCGUCAGCCUAAAUUUGAUUUCGUUUUAGGUCCUGGCGUCAUUUAGAAAUCUUGCUGGGUAGCUACGCCUUAGGGCUACUUGGGACUUUUACUCAGGCUGGGCUCGUCGGUUAGGUCGCUUCAAG